rnacentral:snRNA from 1 species
GUGUUUGCUUCGGCUGCACAUGUACUAAAAUUGGAAUGAUACAGAGAUUAGCAUGGCCCCUGAGCAAGGAUGACAUACAAAUUCAUGAAGCCUUCCAUAUUUUU